AACCAUAGAAACCUGCGGAGUACCUGCGGAAGGAUCAUUAAAAAAAGAUAAUAAUCCAGAUUCAUUUUGUGUGCAUUCAUCGAACAGUAUACUUUGACAGAUUUUGCUUUUUUGUUGUUUAAUAUUUUAUAAAAUAAAAUAAAAACAAUAAAAACUUGAGAGAUUUAAAUUGAAAAAUUUUAAUUUAAAUUUCAAAUCUGUCAAAGUUUUUUUAAUUUAAACAUCUAUUAAUUUAAAAUA
rnacentral:misc_RNA from 1 species